CCUACGGGUGGCAGCAGUGGGGAAUAUUGCACAAUGGGGGGAACCCUGAUGCAGCGACGCCGCGUGGGUGAGGAAGUACUUCGGUAUGUAAAGCCCUAUCAGCAGGGAAGAAAAUGACGGUACCUGACUAAGAAGCCCCGGCUAACUACGUGCCAGAUGCCGCGGUAAUACGGAGGGGGCAAGCGUUAUCCGGAUUUAUUGGGUUUUAAGGGAGCGUAGGCCGCAUGUCAGGCGUGCUGUGAAAGGUCCGGGCUCAACCCGGGCCUUGCAGCGCGAACUGGCGUGCUUGAGUCCGCGGAAAGCAGGCGGAAUUCGUCGUGUAGCGGUGAAAUGCUUAGAUAUGACGAAGAACCCCGAUUGCGAAGGCAGCUUGCUGCAGCGGAACUGACGCUGAUGCUCGAAAGCGCGGGUAUCGAACAGGAUUAGAUACCCGUGUAGUC
rnacentral:rRNA from 1 species